GACGGACGCUGGCGGCGUGCCUAACACAUGCAAGUCGAACGGAGCAAAGCAAAACACUGUGUGCUUUAUUUGUCGUAUUGUCUGUCUUUUGACAAGAUUUUAGCUGUAAUUUGAGAUUUUCGAUUUUGGGAUUUUCGAUGAGGCCUUUAAAGCGAGUAAUUUUACAAAUCGCAAACAGAUAAAGCAUAGAAUGUUUUGUUUUUGCUCAGUGGCGGACGGGUGAGUAACGCGUGAGUAACCUGCCUGUUAGAGGGGGAUAGCGCCUGGAAACGGGCGGUAAUACCGCAUAAGCUGUGAAGAUCACAUGUUCUUUUCAGUAAAGGAGCAAUCCGCUUACAGAUGGACUCGCGUCCGAUUAGCCAGUUGGCGGGGUAAUGGCCCACCAAAGCUACGAUCGGUAGCCGAGCUGAGAGGCUAGACGGCCACAUUGGGACUGAGACACGGCCCAGACUCCUACGGGAGGCAGCAGUGGGGGAUAUUGCACAAUGGAGGAAACUCUGAUGCAGCAACGCCGCGUGGGGGAAGAAGGUCUUCGGAUUGUAAACCUCUGUCCUUGCUGAAGAAUAAAAUGACGGUAAGCAAGGAGGAAGCUCCGGCUAACUACGUGCCAGCAGCCGCGGUAAUACGUAGGGAGCGAGCGUUGUCCGGAUUUACUGGGUGUAAAGGGUGCGUAGGCGGCCUUGUAAGUCAGAUGUGAAAGGCACGAGCUUAACUCGUGGAGUGCAUUUGAAACUACAAGGCUUGAGUGGAGCAGAGGCAGGCGGAAUUCUCGGUGUAGCGGUGGAAUGCGUAGAUAUCGGGAGGAACACCAGUGGCGAAGGCGGCCUGCUGGGCUCUAACAGACGCUCAGGCACGAAAGCGUGGGUAGCAAACAGGAUUAGAUACCCUGGUAGUCCAUGCCGUAAACGAUGAUUACUAGGUGUGGGGGGACUGACCCCCUCCGUGCCGGAGUUAACACAAUAAGUAAUCCACCUGGGGAGUACGGCCGCAAGGUUGAAACUCAAAGGAAUUGACGGGGGCCCGCACAAGCAGUGGAGUAUGUGGUUUAAUUCGAAGCAACGCGAAAAACCUUACCAGGUCUUGACAUCCAACUAACGAGGCAGAGAUGCAUUAGGUGCCCGCAAGGGAAAGUUGAGACAGGUGGUGCAUGGUUGUCGUCAGCUCGUGUCGUGAGAUGUUGGGUUAAGUCCCGCAACGAGCGCAACCCUUAUUAUUAGUUGCUACAAACGUAAAAGUUUGAGAACUCUAGUGAGACUGCCGUUGAUAAAACGGAGGAAGGUGGGGAUGACGUCAAAUCAUCAUGCCCUUUAUGACCUGGGCUACACACGUACUACAAUGGCCGUUACAGAGGGCUGCGAUGGAGCGAUCCGGAGCUAAUCCCACAAAAGCGGCCCCAGUUCAGAUUGCAGGCUGCAACUCGCCUGCAUGAAGAUGGAAUUGCUAGUAAUCGCGGAUCAGCAUGCCGCGGUGAAUACGUUCCCGGGC
rnacentral:rRNA from 1 species